rnacentral:rRNA from 1 species
CCCUUAGAUGUACUGGGCCGCACGCGCGCUACACUGAUGCAUUCAACGAGUUUUACCUUGGCCGAGAGGCCUGGGCAAUCUUUUAAACCUGCAUCGUGAUAGGGAUAGAUUAUUGCAAUUAUUAAUCUUGAACGAGGAAUUCCUAGUAAACGCAAAUCAUCAAUUUGCAUUGAUUACGUCCCUGCCCUUUGUACACACCGCCCGUCGCACCUACCGAUUGAAUGGUCCGGUGAAGCCUCGGGAUUGUGGCCAGUUCACUUUAUUGGGAGUUGGCUGUGAGAACUUGUCUAAACCUUAUCAUUUAGAGGAAGGUGAAGUCGUAACA